GGCUUUGGCUAGGUACAUUUGAUACUGCUGAGGAGGCCGCCUUGGCAUAUGACAAGGCGGCUUAUAAACUCAGAGGCGAGUUUGCUCGUUUGAAUUUCCCCCAUCUCCGUCAUAACGGAUCAUUAAUUGGGAGUGAAUUCGGUGAGUAUAAGCCGCUUCACUCCUCAGUUAAUGCUAAGUUACAAGCCAUUUGUCAAGACUUGGCACAAGGAA
rnacentral:misc_RNA from 1 species